GCUGGCGGCAGGCCUAACACAUGCAAGUCGAACGGUAACAUUUCUAGCUUGCUAGAAGAUGACGAGUGGCGGACGGGUGAGUAAUACUUAGGGAUCUGCCUUUGAGUGGGGGAUAACUAUUGGAAACGAUAGCUAAUACCGCAUAACGUUUACGGACCAAAGGGGGCUUCGGCUCUCGCUCAAAGAGGAACCUAAGCGAGAUUAGCUUGUUGGUGAGGUAAAGGCUCACCAAGGCGACGAUCUCUAGCUGUUCUGAGAGGAAGAUCAGCCACACUGGGACUGAGACACGGCCCAGACUCCUACGGGAGGCAGCAGUGGGGAAUAUUGCACAAUGGGGGAAACCCUGAUGCAGCCAUGCCGCGUGUGUGAAGAAGGCCUUCGGGUUGUAAAGCACUUUCAGUCGUGAGGAAAGGUUAGUAGUUAAUACCUGCUAGCUGUGACGUUAGCGACAGAAGAAGCACCGGCUAACUCCGUGCCAGCAGCCGCGGUAAUACGGAGGGUGCGAGCGUUAAUCGGAAUUACUGGGCGUAAAGCGCACGCAGGCGGUUUGUCAAGCUAGAGGUGAAAGCCCCGCGCUCAACGUGGGAAUGGCCUUUAGAACUGGCAGACUAGAGUCUUGGAGAGGGGAGUGGAAUUCCAGGUGUAGCGGUGAAAUGCGUAGAGAUCUGGAGGAACAUCAGUGGCGAAGGCGACUCCCUGGCCAAAGACUGACGCUCAUGUGCGAAAGUGUGGGUAGCGAACAGGAUUAGAUACCCUGGUAGUCCACACCGUAAACGCUGUCUACUAGCUGUUUGUGUAUUAUAUACGUGAGUAGCGAAGCUAACGCGCUAAGUAGACCGCCUGGGGAGUACGGCCGCA
rnacentral:rRNA from 1 species